AUUGAACGCUGUCGGCAGGCCUAACACAUGCAAGUCGAGCGAGCGGCGGACGGGUGAGUAAUGUUUGGGGAUCUGCCCGAUGGAGGGGGAUAACUACUGGAAACGGUGGCUAAUACCGCAUACUCUCGGAUGACCCCAUAUGGGAUUAGCUAGUAGGUGGGGUAACGGCUCACCUAGGCGACGAUCUCUAGCUGGUCUGAGAGGAUGCUCAGCCACACUGGGAGUGAGACACGGCCAAGACGCCCACGGGAGGUAGCAGUGGGGAAUAUUGCACAAUGGGCGCAAGCCUGAUGCAGCCAUGUCGCGUGUAUGAAGAAGGCCGUAGGGUUGGAAAGUACUUGCAGCGGGGAGGAGUUACCCGCAGAAGAAGCACCGGCUAACUCCGUGCCAGCAGCCGCGGUAAUUC
rnacentral:rRNA from 1 species